rnacentral:rRNA from 1 species
CAGUCGCCACGGGAAAACAGAGGGUGCAAGCGUUAAUCGGAAUUACUGGGCGUAAAGCGCGCGUAGGUGGUUUGUUAAGUUGGAUGUGAAAUCCCCGGGCUCAACCUGGGAACUGCAUCCAAAACUGGCAAGCUAGAGUAUGGUAGAGGGUGGUGGAAUUUCCUGUGUAGCGGUGAAAUGCGUAGAUAUAGGAAGGAACACCAGUGGCGAAGGCGACCACCUGGACUGAUACUGACACUGAGGUGCGAAAGCGUGGGGAGCAAACAGGAUUAGAUACCCCUGUAGUCCCUGUCUCUUAUAC